GACAGAGGCCCCGAGCGUUAGGCGGAAUCACUGGGCUUAAAGCGUGUGUAGGCGGACCGGUAAGUACCUUGUGAAAUCCCACGGCUCACCCGUGGAACUGCUGAGUAUACUGCCGGUCUCGGGCCAACUAGGGGCAACUGGAACAAGCGGUGGAGCGGUGAAAUGCGUAGAUAUCGCUUGGAACGCCGAAGGUGAAAACAGGUUGCUGGGGUUGUGCCGACGCUGAGACACGAAAGCCAGGGGAGCGAACGGG
rnacentral:rRNA from 1 species